AUCUUUCUUUGUGAAAGUGGAGCAACAAUGUAUUGCUCUUUGCAUCUCUACUGCCUAAUGUUUUUAUACAUAGUAGAAGCCCAUUGGAUGUGAAUUUAAUGAAUUAAUAUAAAAAAUAUAUAUGAGCAGGUAAAUCCUUAUUUCAAGUUUUUUUUUUUGUAAUUAUCUUUUAAGUUUGAUGGAAGAAAAGAGUAGAACAAUGAAGUAAUCCUUUUACUUAUCCAAAUUUAAUAUUUUGGCAGGUGACCUAAAUUAUUUUUCAUCUUUACUUCCUUUUGAAGAGUUAAACUUCCAUUCUUUGUGAUAAAAUGGAUUCGUUGUGGUUCAGGCAAUUUGUAGUCCUCAUCUGGAAAAAUCUUCUUUUAAAGAGGCGGAAUACAGCGGGUUUACUUGUGGAUAUUGGCCUGGUAUUUGUAGUUUCGGCAUUGCUUUUGAUAGGACGUAGAGUAAUUAAAAAGGAAUUUCGUCAUGCUUCCACUUUUGAUCCUCUUCCUUUGACACUACCUGCUUUCCUCAUUAAUACGUCAGUUGUAUAUGAGUUGGUUUAUGUGCCUUCUGAAAGUGAUGUGGCAAAAAAUAUUACUGAGAUGGUAAAAAGGGAUUUAAAUGCCAAUUUUAAAGUUCGAGGCUUUUCAUCAGAAGAAGCUUUUGAGAAGUACAUUAAGUACAAAUAUAAGAAUGUUCAUGUGCUGGCUGCUAUUGUUUUUGAUCAUAACUUCAAAAACAGCAAUGAUAGAUUGCCGCUGAAGGUAAAAUAUCGCCUGCGUUUUAGUAAUUUUAGUGAUCCCUCUAAUCAUCCAUAUAAAUUAUUCCAAAGAAAGACAGAGUGGCAUACAUCUAUUCUCUUUCCAAGAGUACCUACUCUAGGACCCAGAAACCCAGAUGAAGCAGAUGGGGGACAUCCUGGUUACAUCAAAGAAGGGUUCCUGGUUAUACAGCAUUCCUUAGAUAAGGCCAUCAUGAUAUAUCACAAUGGCAGAGAUGCAGAAAGGAUGUUUAAUAAUGCCAGCAUUUUGGCUCAGAGAUUUCCAUACCCUGCUUAUUAUCAUGAUAAUCAUAUGUGGUUAAUUUUGAAUAUCCUAUCCAUGAUGGUUUUACUUGCAUUUUCUCAAAAUGAACUUACCCUCAUCAGGAUCAUCACAUUAGAAAAAGAAAGGGGAUUAAAGGAGUACCAACUUGUGGCAGGACUCAAGAAUUGGAUGCUCUGGGCUACAUAUUUUGUUACAGCCUUAUUACUGUGUAUAUGUAUCACCUCUGUACUGCACAUGGCUUUAUUUCUCAAGGCGAGUAUCUACCUGAAUGCAACAUACUGCAGCUAA
rnacentral:lncRNA from 1 species